rnacentral:rRNA from 1 species
UACGAAGGGGGCGAGCGUUGUUCGGAAUUACUGGGCGUAAAGGGCGCGUAGGCGGCCGAUCAAGUCAGAUGUGAAAGUCCUGGGCUUAACCUGGGGACUGCAUUUGAUACUGAUUGGCUUGAAUGCAGGAGAGGAUAGCGGAAUUCCCAGUGUAGAGGUGAAAUUCGUAGAUAUUGGGAAGAACACCGGUGGCGAAGGCGGCUAUCCGGACUGUGAUUGACGCUGAGGCGCGAAAGCGUGGGGAGCAAACAGG